rnacentral:rRNA from 1 species
UGGUGACGAUAGCAAAGAGGAUACACCUGUUCCCAUCCCGAACACAGUAGUUAAGCUCUUUAGCGCCGAUGGUAGUUGGGGGUUUCCCCCUGUGAGAGUAGGACGUUGCCAAGCU